UUUACCAAAAACAUCGCCUCUUGGAACCCAUAAGAGGUCCAGCCUGCCCAGUGACCCUGUUCAACGGCCGCGGUAUCCUAACCGUGCGAAGGUAGCGUAAUCACUUGUUCUUUAAAUGAGGACUAGUAUGAAUGGCACCACGAAGGUUAUACUGUCUCCUUCCUCUAAUCAGUGAAACUAAUCUCCCCGUGAAGAAGCGGGGAUAAGCCUAUAAGACGAGAAGACCCUAUGGAGCUUUAAACNCNGUAAUAAAUGCCCCCCCCCCCUUUUUUCUAUUCAAAUCUCCGGANNACUACUUUAUCUGAGCAUCCUAUUUACAAGUUUUAGGUUGGGGUGACCGCGGAGUAAAAAAUAACCUCCACAGUGAAUGGAAUCUUUUUCCUAAACUCAGGGCCACAACCCUAAAAAUCAAUAAAUUGACACCCAUUGACCCAAUAUUUUGAUCAAUGAACCAAGUUACCCUAGGGAUAACAGCGCAAUCCACUUCAAGAGCUCCUAUCGACAAGUGGGUUUACGACCUCGAUGUUGGAUCAGGGUACCCCAGUGGUGCAGCCGCUGCUAAAGGUUCGUUUNUUCNNCGAUUNAANNCNUACGUGAUNUGAGUUCAGACCGGAGUAAUCCAGGUCAGUUUCUAUCUAUAAAGAGUUUCUUCUAGUACGAAAGGACCGAAAAAACAUGGCCAAUGCCACCUGUAAGCCAUACAACCUAUUUAUGACACAGCCUCAAUAAAAAAUAUGUCCCUAAAACAGCUUAAGAAAAGAGCA
rnacentral:rRNA from 1 species